rnacentral:rRNA from 1 species
GAUGAACGCUGGCGGCAUGCCUAACACAUGCAAGUCGAUCGGUAAGGCUCUUCGGAGUCCACGAGAGGCGGUCGGCUGAGUAACGCGUAGGAACACACCCUGCAGUGAGGGAUAAGACACCGAAAGGUGUUCUAAUACCGCAUACGGUUUUCGGAUUAAAGCAUUUAUGCGCUGAAGGAGUGGCCUGCGUCAUAUUAGAUAGUUGGUGAGGUAAUGGCUCACCAAGUCGAUGAUGUGUAGCUGGUCUGAGAGGACGAUCAGCCAGACUGGAACUGAGACACGGUCCAGACUCCUACGGGAGGCAGCAGUGAGGAAUAUUUCACAAUGAGCGAAAGCUUGAUGGAGCAAUGCCGCGUGCAGGAUGAAGGCCCUCGGGUUGUAAACUGCUUUUAUAAGAGAAGAUUAUGACGGUAACUUAUGAAUAAGGGACGGCUAACUACGUG